rnacentral:tRNA from 1 species
GGAAGGUUGGCAGAGUGGUCGAUUGCACUCAGUUUAGACCUGAGCAGGCCUUUCGGGGUCUCGUGGGUUCGAAUCCCACACCUUAUU